AGAGUUUGAUCCUGGCUCAGAACGAACGCUGGCGGCGUGCUUAACACAUGCAAGUCGAGUGCGCGUUUCCGUAGCAAUACGGAAAUGGCGCACGGCGCACGGGUGCGUAACACGUGGGUAAUCUGCCCUUCGAUGGGGAAUAACCCCGGGAAACCGGGGCUAAUUCCGCAUAACAUUCCGAGGACUUCGGUCUUUGGAUUCAAAGCCGUAAGGCGUCGGAGGAGGAACCCGCGCACGAUUAGCUAGUUGGUAGGGUAACGGCCUACCAAGGCUAUGAUCGUUAGCUGGUCUGAGAGGAUGGCCAGCCACACUGGAACUGAGACACGGUCCAGACUCCUACGGGAGGCAGCAGUGGGGAAUCUUGCACAAUGGGCGAAAGCCUGAUGCAGCGACGCCGCGUGGGGGAUGAAGCAUUUCGGUGUGUAAACCCCUUUCGACUGGGACGAAUGCCUCGCAAGAGGAGUGACGGUACCAGUAGAAGAAGCCCCGGCUAACUACGUGCCAGCAGCCGCGGUAAGACGUGGGGGGCCAGCGUUGUUCGGAAUUACUGGGUGUAAAGGGUUCGUAGGCGGUGCGGCAAGUUGGGAGUGAAAUCUCUGGGCUUAACCCAGAGGCUGCUUCCAAAACUGCUGUGCUUGAGUGUGGGAGAGGCGCGUGGAAUUGCAGGUGUAGCGGUGAAAUGCGUAGAUAUCUGCAGGAACACCCGUGGCGAAAGCGGCGCGCUGGACCACAACUGACGCUGAGGAACGAAAGCUAGGGGAGCAAACAGGAUUAGAUACCCUGGUAGUCCUAGCCCUAAACGAUCAGGACUUGGGGUGCCGCCCGUUCGGGCGUCGUCCCGGAGCUAACGCGUUAAGUCCUGCACCUGGGGAGUACGGUCGCAAGACUGAAACUCAAAGGAAUUGACGG
rnacentral:rRNA from 1 species